UACGAAGGGGGCUAGCGUUGUUCGGAAUUACUGGGCGUAAAGGGCGCGUAGGCGGCUCGCUAAGUUGGAUGUGAAACUUCUGGGCUCAACCCAGAACCUGCAUUCAAAACUGACGAGCUAGAGUACUGGAGGGGAAAGCGGAAUUCCUGGUGUAGCGGUGAAAUGCGUAGAUAUCAGGAGGAACACCGGUGGCGAAGGCGGCUUUCUGGACAGUAACUGACGCUGAGGCGCGAAAGCUAGGGGAGCAAACAGG
rnacentral:rRNA from 1 species